rnacentral:tRNA from 1 species
GCCUUUGUGGUGUAGCAGUCAGCACGCUCGGCGCGUAUUUGAGAAGUUCGGGGUUAGAGUCCCGGCGACGGCA